rnacentral:tRNA from 1 species
GGGCGGGUACCCAAGUGGCCAACGGGGCCUGGCUGUAAACCAGGUGGCGCAAGCCUUCGGGGGUUCGAAUCCCUCCCCGCCCA